GAUGAACGCUGGCGGCGUGCCUAAUACAUGCAAGUCGAGCGAACAGACGAGGAGCUUGCUCCUCUGACGUUAGCGGCGGACGGGUGAGUAACACGUGUAUAACCUACCUAUAAUACUGGUAUCACUUCGGGAAACCGGAGCUAAUACCGGAUAAUAUAUUGAACCGCAUGGUUCAAUAGUGAAAGACGGCUUUGCUGUCACUUAUAGAUGGAUCCGCGCCGCAUUAGCUAGUUGGUACGGUAAUGGCUUACCAAGGCAACGAUGCGUAGCCGACCUGAGAGGGUGGUAGGCCACACGAGAACGUGACCAGGGACAAGACGACUGAGGGAGGCAGCAGUAGGGAAUCUUCCGCAAUGGGCGAAAGCCUGACGGAGCAACGCCGCGUGAGUGAUGAAGGUCUUCGGAGCGUAAAACUCUGUUAUGAGGGAAGAACAAAUGUGUAAGUAACUAUGCACGUCUUGACGGUACCUAAUCAGAAAGCCACGGCUAACUACGUG
rnacentral:rRNA from 1 species